GGUUUCGUAGUGUAGUGGUCAUCACGUCUGCUUUACACGCAGAAAGGUCCUCGUUCAAACCCGAGCGGAACCA
rnacentral:tRNA from 1 species